GACGAACGCUGGCGGCGUGCUUAACACAUGCAAGUCGAACGGAAAGGCCCAGCUUUCGUGGGGUAUUAGUGUCGCGAGGGGGUGUAACACAUGUGUGACACCCGCCUUUGACUCUGGGAUAACUUCAGGAAAGUGGGGCUAAUACGGGAUAUGCUGUCCAGCCUCAUGGGGGGGGUUGGGAAGGUUUGGUGGUUGGGGAUGGGCUGGGUGCUCAUCCGCUUGUUGGUGGGGUAGUGGCUUAGCAAGGCUUUGCUGGGUCGGCGGGCUGAGAGGGUGACCGGCCACAUUGGGACUGAGAUACGGGCGAGAGUCCUACGGGAGACAGCAGUGUGGAAUAUUGCACAAUGGACGGAAGCCUGAUGCAGCAAGGCCGCGUUCGGGAUGACGGCCUUCGGGUUGUAAACCGCAUUCGCCUGUGACGAAGCGUGAGUGACGGUAAUGGGUAAAGAAGCGCCGGCUAACUACGUG
rnacentral:rRNA from 1 species